CUCGGCUCCCGGAGCGCAGGGUCCGGGAGGCGCCGGAGCCUCGCGGACUCCAGGCGUUUCUCCUUUGGGGAGAAGCUGAAAAGGUUCCGGGAAAGGCCGCAGGUUUGCACGGCGAGGUUAAGAGAAAGAACUUGAGCCGUUGAAAGAAAGCUCCUCUCCCUUCUGAGGGCACCAGUGAAAAUCAGACCUUGCCAUAAUGGGUGAGAAGCUCCCCUCUCCUACUAGGCUGAAUGUCGCCGCUCUGGUAGACAGUCUUGGCUGAGCUCCCAGUUGACAGGCAGUGUCAACUGCUGCUAGCCUUGUGAAUGCUUCAUCUUAGACAGCCAUGGCCCCGUUGAGCUCUUGGAUGACAGCGGCACAACCAUCUGACUACAACCACACAGCAACCUUCAGACGAGAACUACCCAGCUAAACCCUUCCCCAAUUCCCGACGUGUAAAAUCGAGAGCAAAAUAAAAUGGCCACAGUAAGCCACUGAGGUCAUUUGUUACAUAGCAUUAGGUCAUUUUGUUACAUAGCAGUAGUAACAAGAGCAUAGGUUUGCUUGGGUAAUUUAUUCUAAUCACAAAGAAAUGUAGCAGUACACUUUCCAGGGGUGGAAUAGAUGGAAUUUAAAUUGUUUUGCAUUUUUAAAAACCUUUCUUCUGAUAGGUUCCUUGUAGAACUCUUAAGCAGAUACAAGGACACAGUCUAGAUUCAAAUACCUGACUCUGGUUCCAAAAUUUGAUUUGGGAAAUAUAGAUCAGAUCUUAUUAAAUCAACCUUAUAGGAACUGUAUGGAUAUUUUAUAAUACUGAAAAUCUCUGUUUUGGUGUUUUUUAUUUUAUUUUAUUUUACAAAACUGGCCUUGAAAAUUUUGUUUCAUUAAACUUAACUUUCACUUAUUCUUUCUAUCUGAAGUUGGAUCAAAGGGGGAAAAAAGAAGGGGGAGAUGAUGAUAAAAAAUGAGGGCAGAACCUUCUUUCUAUCAGUGACUACGAGAACACUGUGUUUUCUCCGAGAGACAGUUAAAGGUCAGUGUUCCUUUCUCAAUCUCUGAGCAGGACUGAUUAAAACAAAGAACACAAGCUUGCCAGAUUAGUGUGGGAAAGGAGAGAACUGAAGCAUAGUUGAAGUUGAGGUGUCCUAGCUAAGGUACCUCAGAAAGCAGAGCCUGAGACAAAGACUUGAAAAUCAGUAUUCGGCUGGAGAAUGUGAAGAAAAGCAAGGAAGAGGGGUAAAAGGCAGGAGGCACCAAUACGGGGAGGUGUUCCCCAAACAUCGCCACCGCCGCGGAUGAAGAUUUCUUUGGUUCCACGAACCAUUAAUCUGGGGGGUGAAAUGGGGCAUUUAUCCAUAGCUCCCAUGUCCCUAGUCAAAAGUUCGCCAACCGUGUUCACUUCUGAGUUAUGCACGGCUGGACUUGGAGUGGUUUCUCAUGGCACCCCCACACUACAGCACUGGAGAGGCCCUGGGGAGGGAAGGGAGAAAAGCAUGUGACACACAACUGUGGAGGCUAUUAGGUCACACCUGGGUGAAUCCGGUCUAAAAAUCUGACUUUCGAAUUUAUUGAGAGUGUAAAUACUUCAUAUUCUUUUUAAAUAUUAAAAGUUAUUUUUAAAA